rnacentral:rRNA from 1 species
AGUGAACGCUGGCGGUAGGCCUAACACAUGCAAGUCGAACGGCAGCACAGUAAGAGCUUGCUCUUACGGGUGGCGAGUGGCGGACGGGUGAGGAAUACAUCGGAAUCUACUUUUUCGUGGGGGAUAACGUAGGGAAACUUACGCUAAUACCACAUACGACCUACGGGUGAAAGCAGGGGAUCUUCGGACCUUGCGCGAUUGAAUGAGCCGAUGUCGGAUUAGCUAGUUGGCGGGGUAAAGGCCCACCAAGGCGACGAUCCGUAGCUGGUCUGAGAGGAUGAUCAGCCACACUGGAACUGAGACACGGUCCAGACUCCUACGGGAGGCAGCAGUGGGGAAUAUUGGACAAUGGGCGCAAGCCUGAUCCAGCCAUACCGCGUGGGUGAAGAAGGCCGUCGGGUUGUAAAGCCCUUUUGUUGGGAAAGAAAAGCAGCAGGUUAAUACCCCGCUGUUCUGACGGUACCCAAAGAAUAAGCACGGGCUAACUUCGUG